UUUGAAUCAUUAGAUGACCGUAGAUUUUUUGAAAUUACUGACUUGUCUUUGGAUGAAUCAGACUUAAAGGCUAGUUUUCUUAAUGUAGAAUGACUAUGAUAUGAUUUGUCUCAUUUUAUUUUGGUGAAUUUAUGUCUUUUUUUCGAUUGAUUGAAAGUACUAAAUUUAAACUAAACAUUUGUUUAAAAAAAGUUUAAAUAAAUAUAAAUUUUGUUUCUCA
rnacentral:lncRNA from 1 species